UGGGGGAGCACCGGAUCCUGGGCUAUGUCCCCCAGCGCCCUGGGCUCCCGGGCCUGCACCACUAGAAUCGGGCUCCUGGAGCCACGCAGCCCCCU
rnacentral:pre_miRNA from 1 species